GAUGAAGAACGCAGCGAAAUGCGAUAAGUAAUGUGAAUUGCAGAAUUCAGUGAAUCAUCGAGUCUUUGAACGCACAUUGCGCCCCCUGGUAUUCCGGGGGGCAUGCCUGUCCGAGCGUCAUUGCUGCCCUCAAGCACGGCUUGUGUGUUGGGCCUCUGUCCUCCUCCCGGGGGACGGGCCCGAAAGGCAGCGGCGGCACCGCGUCCGGUCCUCGAGCGUAUGGGGCUUCGUCACCCGCUCUUGUAGGCCCGGCCGGCGCUUGCCGACACAUCAAUCUUUUUUCCAGGUUGACCUCGGAUCAGGUAGGGAUACCCGCUGAACUUAAGCAUAUCAAUAAGCGGAGA
rnacentral:misc_RNA from 1 species